GAAUUUUGGACAAUGGGCGAAAGCCUGAUCCAGCAAUGCCGCGUGCAGGAUGAAGGCCUUCGGGUUGUAAACUGCUUUUGUACGGAACGAAAAGCUUUUGGUUAAUACCCUGGAGUCAUGACGGUACCGUAAGAAUAAGCACCGGCUCACUACGUGCCAGCCGCCGCGGUAAUCCGUAGGGUGCAAGCGUUAAUCGGAAUUACUGGGCGUAAAGCGUGCGCAGGCGGUUUUGUAAGACAGAGGUGAAAGCCCCGGGCUCAACCUGGGAACUGCCUUUGUGACUCCACGGCUCACUUACCGCAGAUGGUGGUGUAAUUCCGCGUGUAGCAGUGAAAUGCGUAGAUAUGCGGAGGAACACCGAUGGCGAAGGCAACCCCCUGGGCCUGUACUGACGCUCAUGCACGAAAGCGUGGGGAGCAAACA
rnacentral:rRNA from 1 species